UAACACAUGCAAGUCGGGGGAGAAGGUACCCUUGGGGGUAGUGGAGACCGGCGGAUGGGUGAGUAACGCGUAGGUAAUCUGCCGUUAGGACGGGGAUAACAUGCCGAAAGGCAUGCUAAUACCGGAUGAUGCAGCGGGGCCGCAUGGCCACAGUUGUUAAAUCCUUCGGGAGCCUAAAGAUGAGCCUGCGUGCCAUUAGCUAGUUGGUAGGGUCAAAGCCUACCAAGGCGAUGAUGGCUAGGGGGUCUGAGAGGAUGAUCCCCCACACUGGGACUGAGACACGGCCCAGACUCCUACGGGAGGCAGCAGUGAGGAAUCUUGCGCAAUGGUCGCCCGCCGCGCCCCGCGCCC
rnacentral:rRNA from 1 species